rnacentral:rRNA from 1 species
UGUGAACUCGAAGAGUAGGGCGGGACACGUGGUAUCCUGUCUGAAUAUGGGGGGACCAUCCUCCAAGGCUAAAUACUCCUGACUGACCGAUAGUGAACCAGUACCGUGAGGGAAAGGCGAAAAGAACCCCGGCGAGGGGAGUGAAAAAGAACCUGAAACCGUGUACGUACAAGCAGUGGGAGCACCUUCGGGUGUGACUGCGUACCUUUUGUAUAAUGGGUCAGCGACUUAUAUUCUGUAGCAAGGUUAACCGUAUAGGGGAGCCGCAGGGAAACCGAGUCUUAACUGGGCGUUAAGUUGCAGGGUAUAGACCCGAAACCCGGUGAUCUAGCCAUGGGCAGGUUGAAGGUUGGGUAACACUAACUGGAGGACCGAACCGACUAAUGUUGAAAAAUUAGCGGAUGACUUGUGGCUGGGGGUGAAAGGCCAAUCAAACCGGGAGAUAGCUGGUUCUCCCCGAAAGCUAUUUAGGUAGCGCCUCGUGAAUUCAUCUUCGGGGGUAGAGCACUGUUUCGGCUAGGGGGUCAUCCCGACUUACCAACCCGAUGCAAACUACGAAUACCGAAGAAUGUUAUCACGGGAGACACACGGCGGGUGCUAACGUCCGUCGUGAAGAGGGAAACAACCCAGACCGCCAGCUAAGGUCCCAAAGUCAUGGUUAAGUGGGAAACGAUGUGGGAAGGCACAGACAGCCAGGAUGUUGGCUUAGAAGCAGCCAUCAUUUAAAGAAAGCGUAAUAGCUCACUGGUCGAGUCGGCCUGCGCGGAAGAUGUAACGGGGCUAAACCAUGCACCGAAGCUGCGGCAGCGACACUAUGUGUUGUUGGGUAGGGGAGCGUUCUGUAAGCCUGCGAAGGUGACCUGUGAGGGUUGCUGGAGGUAUCAGAAGUGCGAAUGCUGACAUAAGUAACGAUAAAGCGGGUGAAAAGCCCGCUCGCCGGAAGACCAAGGGUUCCUGUCCAACGUUAAUCGGGGCAGGGUGAGUCGACCCCUAAGGCGAGGCCGAAAGGCGUAGUCGAUGGGAAACAGGUUAAUAUUCCUGUACUUGGUGUUACUGCGAAGGGGGGACGGAGAAGGCUAUGUUAGCCGGGCGACGGUUGUCCCGGUUUAAGCAUGUAGGCUGGUUGUCCAGGCAAAUCCGGAUAAUCAAGGCUGAGGUGUGAUGACGAGGCACUACGGUGCUGAAGUAACAAAUGCCCUGCUUCCAGGAAAAGCCUCUAAGCAUCAGG